AUCACUUCUUGACCUUUUGGCUAAAUUCAAAUGUAGUAUCUGUUCUUAUCAGUGAAUAUCUGUUAUAUUUGGGAAGCUGUAAAAUGCCAGGGGUCUGUAGCAAUCAAGUCUCACUAAUCUUUGGUAUAUGGAGAGGACACCCACCCACAAACAGGCUUGACUGAAGGGAGGGGCACGCUCUUGCUGAGUGCUCCUUUA